rfam:Pan troglodytes isolate Yerkes chimp pedigree #C0471 (Clint) chromosome 5, whole genome shotgun sequence.
AGCUUUGUGCAGUGGCAGUAUCAUAGCCAAUGAGGUUUAUCCGAGGCGUGAUUAUUGCUAAUUGAAAAAUUGA